rnacentral:rRNA from 1 species
GAUCCUGGCUCAGGACGAACGCUGGCGGCGUGCCUAACACAUGCAAGUCGAACGAGGGUUUGGGAAAGCUUGCUUUCCGAAACCUAGUGGCGGACGGGUGAGUAACGCGUGAGUAACCUGCCUUUCAGAGGGGAAUAACGUUCUGAAAAGAACGCUAAUACCGCAUAACGUACAGUUACCGCAUGGUAGCAGUACCAAAGGAGCAAUCCGCUGAAAGAUGGACUCGCGUCCGAUUAGCUAGUUGGUGGGGUAAAGGCCU